GUCCACGCCGUAACGAUGAGCGCUAGGCGUUGGGGUAUUGACCCCUCCAGUGCCGCAGCUAACGCGUUAAGCGCUCCGCCUGGGGAGUACGGCCGCAAGGCUAAACUCAAAGGAAUUGACGGGGCCCGCACAAGCGGUGGAGUAUGUGGUUUAAUUCGACGCAACGCGAAGAACCUUACCUGGGUUAAAUCCACCGGAACCCUCUGGAGACAGGGGAGUGCCCUUCGGGGAAUCGGUGAGAAGGUGCUGCAUGGCUGUCGU
rnacentral:rRNA from 1 species